AUGGCCAAGCUCGCGCAGUCCUCCUUCGCUCUCGACCUCCUGCGCCGCCUCCUCUGCGCGCACACCGCCGGCAAUGCGGCGGGCGGGGGCAACACCAACACCGUCCAUGCCGACGUCGCUGCUCUACGGCGCGGCGACGGCGCCGCGGCGUCCAAGGAGGAGGAGGGGGCGAUGGCCAGGAGCCCCUGCAUUGUGGCCAGGCUGAUGGGCCUCGACGCGAUGCCGACGCCGCCGCGCGACCAGCAGCAGACGCUGCGCCGGAGCCGCUCCGCCAGCUCCGCGGAGGGCUGGUCCUCGCCCACGCCGUGCUGCUUCGGUGACGCGCCGCGGCGCAGGGUGGUCAGGACCACGUCGGCGUCGUUCCGGGACCGGCCCACGUACCUGAGGCGGGAGAACGACGAGUUCCUGCUCCUCAGCUUCAGCCCGGACGACGACGGCGGCGACGACCGCGACGCGGCAGGGUGGCCCAGAAGCGACGACGACGACGCGGAGAUGGCCGGGAGCAGGCGCGGCAAGAGGACGGUGGACGGCGACGGGGCCAAGAAACAGAGGCGGAGGCGAAGAAGGCUCCCGCGGCGGCGGCGCGGCGACGAGGACGCGGAGUCAAAGCCUGGCCGGAGCAGGAGGCCGGCCGCGGCGGCGGAGGAAUGCGGCCUGGAGAACUCGAGCCCGGUGUCGGUGCUGGAGGCGCGAGAAGCGCAGGAGGAGUCGUCGACGGCCACCACCGCUUCGUCAUCUUCAGUGGAAGAAUUGGAGCAUGCAGAGCCGUGCUCACCUAGCUCAGAUGGAGGCGAAACCCGGCUGGCGCCGAGGCAGCAGCUGCAGAGAUCAAGGAGGAAGCUACUGCAAGCCAACUCCGACAAUCUCGGUGACGACCCGCGUCCUGCAGCAGCUAGCUCCUCCUCUUGUGUCUCGAAAUGUUCAGACAGGAAUAGGAGGGACAGGAGAGUGGUGAACAACAAGGCAGAGGCGAUCGCCCCGGAUGCGACCGGCAUCUGGCGAAUCAUCUGCAGGAUGGUUGAGCAAGAUAUAUGUGGCAUCAAGUGGCAAGCUAGAGGUGGUGGCGACAUUGCAGCGGCGAUGGGGUCAGAGAUCCUUGAUCAGCUCAUAUGGGAGCAAACAGCUGAGCUGAUGCAGCUAACUGUGGUCUGA
rnacentral:rRNA from 1 species